rnacentral:rRNA from 1 species
GACGAACGCUGGCGGCGUGCUUAACACAUGCAAGUCGAACGGAAAGGCCCAGCUUGCUGGGUGCUCGAGUGGCGAACGGGUGAGUAACACGUGGGUGAUCUGCCUCUAACUUCGGGAUAAGCUUGGGAAACUGGGUCUAAUACCGGAUAGGACAAUCGUUUAGUGUCGGUUGUGGAAAGUUUUUUCGGUUAGGGAUGAGCCCGCGGCCUAUCAGCUUGUUGGUGGGGUAAUGGCCUACCAAGGCGUCGACGGGUAGCCGGCCUGAGAGGGUGGACGGCCACAUUGGGACUGAGAUACGGCCCAGACUCCUACGGGAGGCAGCAGUGGGGAAUAUUGCACAAUGGGCGCAAGCCUGAUGCAGCGACGCCGCGUGGGGGAUGACGGCCUUCGGGUUGUAAACCUCUUUCGACAGGGACGAAGCUUUGGUGACGGUACCUGUAUAAGAAGCACCGGCUAACUACGUGCCAGCAGCCGCCGUAACAC